rnacentral:rRNA from 1 species
AGUGAACGCUGGCGGUAGGCCUAACACAUGCAAGUCGAACGGCAGCACAGUAAGAGCUUGCUCUUACGGGUGGCGAGUGGCGGACGGGUGAGGAAUACAUCGGAAUCUACUUUUUCGUGGGGGAUAACGUAGGGCCACUUACGCUAAUACCGCAUACGACCUACGGGUGAAAGCAGGGGAUCUUCGGACCUUGCGCGAUUGAAUGAGCCGAUGUCGGAUUAGCUAGUUGGCGGGGUAAAGGCCCACCAAGGCGACGAUCCGUAGCUGGUCUGAGAGGAUGAUCAGCCACACUGGAACUGCGACACGGUCCAGACUCCUACGGGAGGCAGCAGUGGGGAAUAUUGGACAAUGGGCGCAAGCCUGAUCCAGCCAUACCGCGUGGGUGAAGAAGGCCUUCGGGUUGUAAAGCCCUUUUGUUGGGAAAGAAAAGCAGCAGGUUAAUACCCCGCUGUUCUGACGGUACCCAAAGAAUAAGCACCGGCUAACUUCGUG